GUUUGAAUAAAAGGAGAUGAAGCUACCACGUGGGACAAGGUGGGAGGCCGGGGAGGGGCAGGUGAAGGGCCAUAUACCCCAGGGCUUUGUGGGCACCAGUGGCACCCUUCACGAAGAGACUUUCUCCUCUGUCCUACACAGGCCGUCCUGUGCUUAUUCUCCACAUACCACCCCUACAUGCUACACCUGGUAUGCCAAGACGGCAGGCCGGGAUGCACCCUGAGUGGGAAGGGCCAGCCCAGCCUCCCACCUGCCUCAUCACGACCGAGGUGAAGGCUGGCAGGGUGGUGCUGGACUCCAGCCUGGCCUGUGUCUGACCUUGGUGCUGUGCGUAGCUGGGGCCCACAGAACAGCCCCCCUAGGGAUUUUCCCUCUGUCCACUGGCUGUCCAUCCUGGCAACCUGGGCCCCCGAUAGCAGAAGCCUGGCUCCCUGAUGCUUGUCCCCGUGGGCCUGGCCAGGACACGGGGCGUGCAUCUCCUGUCCAAAUUGAAGUCUGCGAUCACCCCCGCAGGGACCACCAGUUCACCCGGGGAAGAAGCUGUCCCUGCCAGAGUGUGGGCUACUGGUGAGUGGCCUGAGAUCACAGUGUCGGGGCAGGGAGAAAAGCAGAGAAUGGCCCUUUCUCACUGUGACAUCACCUCCCGAGUUAGCUAAAUUGGGUCUCUGUGCCCCAGAAGUAUUGAAUUUUUAUUUCACUGUGGGCCAGUGAGGUCUUCCCAAUACAGGUCCUGACACAGGAUAUGGAG
ensembl:lncRNA